rnacentral:rRNA from 1 species
GCCAGACUCCUACGGGAGGCAGCAGUGGGGGAUAUUGCACAAUGGGGGGAACCCUGAUGCAGCGACGCCGCGUGGGUGAAGGAGUAUUUCGGUAUGUAAAGCCCUAUCGGCAGGGAAGAAGAAAGACGGUACCUGACUAAGAAGCCCCGGCUAACUACGUGCCAGCAGCCGCGGUAAUACGUAGGGGGCGAGCGUUAUCCGGAUUCACUGGGUGUAAAGGGAGCGUAGACGGCCAAGCAAGCCAGGGGUGAAAGCCCGGGGCCCAACCCCGGGACUGCCCUUGGAACUGCAUGGCUGGAGUGCGGGAGGGGCAGGCGGAAUUCCUGGUGUAGCGGUGAAAUGCGUAGAUAUCAGGAGGAACACCGGCGGCGAAGGCGGCCUGCUGGACUGCAACUGACGUUGAGGCCCGAAAGCGUGGGGAGCAAACAGGAUUAGAUACCCCUGUA